rnacentral:rRNA from 1 species
ACAAGGGCGUAUGGUGGAUGCCUAGGCUUUGAAAGGCGAUGAAGGACGCGGCGUGGCGGCGAUACGCUCCGGGGAGGUGCCAAGCAACCUUCGAUCCGGAGAUGUCCGAAUGAGGAAACUCAAUAGAAAGAAAUUUCUAUUAUCUUGCAGCAAUGCAAGAUGCAAACCGUGGGAAGUGAAACAUCUCAGUACCACGAGGAAAAGAGACCAAUAGGAAUUUCGUUAGUAGCGGCGAGCGAAAGCGAAUCUAGCCCAAACCGUAGAAUUUGCCAGAUGACUCCUCGCAAGAGAAGUCGUCCGGUAAAUUCGCGGGGUUGUAAGACAUUGUUAGUAUGCAAAAUACAGUAAGUUACAAAUCGUGGAGAUAGCCGAAGUUGCUGGGAAGCAACGCCCCAGAGGGUGAAAGCCCCGUAGGCGAAAUCAACACGACUUACACAAUGCUCUUGAGUAGCUCAAGACACGAAUGGCUUGAGUGAAUCUGCCGGAACUAACCGGUAAGGCUAUAUACUUUCAAAGACCGAUAGCGCAGAGUACCGUGAGGGAAAGGUGAAAAGCACCCCGGUGAGGGGAGUGAAAUAGUUCUGAAACCAUAUGUCUACAAGGAGUGGAAGAGGGCGCAAGUCCUCGACCGCGUGCCUAUUGAAGAAUGAGCCUGCGAGUUUAUGUGUACUGCGUUAUGGCUAAGGUCGAGAGACCGGAGCCGCAGGGAAACCGAGUGUGAAUAGCGCGUUUGUAGUACGCAUAAGACCCGAAGCCAGGUGAGCUACCCAUGAGCAGGGUGAAGUUUGUCGAAAGACAGAUGGAGGCCCGAACCGUUGAGCCGUUCAAAACUCUCGGAUGACUUGUGGGUUGGAGUGAAAAGCUAAUCGAACCUGGUAAUAGCUGGUUCUCUCUGAAACAGCUUUUGGGCUGGCGUCGUGUUUAUUGAGUAGCGGGGGUAGAGCACUGGAAGGAUCCAACAGGUCGCAAGAUCGUGGAUCCUAUCAAACUCCGAAUACCGUUAUUGUUACACGGCAGUUAGUACGUGGGGGCUAAGCUCCACCGUACAAAAGGAGAAGAGUCCUAGAUCUCAAGUUAAGGUCCCAAAAUCUACGUUAAGUACAUCACAAGGAGGUGGAGUUUCCCAGACAAUGAGGAGGUUGGCUUAGAAGCAGCCAUCCUUGAAAGAAAGCGUAACAGCUCACUCAUCGAGAGAUUCCGCGCCGAAGAUAAUCGGGGUUUAAACGUAGUACCGAAGCUGAGGGCUUGGUGUGACUUCGGUCUAUCCAAGCGGUAAGAGAGCGUUCCGUUUGCAAUGAAGGUGAAGGCGCGAGCCACGCUGGAGCGUACGGAAGUGAGAAUGCAGGCACAAGUAACCGCAAUGCGGGUGAGAUCCCCGCACGCCGAAAGCACAAGGUUUCCUUGGCGAUGUUGAUCAGCCAAGGGUUAGUCGGGCCUAAGGGGAUGGCGAAAGCCGCACCCGAUGGACAGUAGGUUAAUAUUCCUACACCGCGGCAUGAGCUAUGGAGGGACGGAGGAAAUAAAUGACAGCGUCUUAUUGGAUUGACGUCUGCUCUGUAAGACAGGUUAGGGAGGCAAAUCCCCCUAGCUGCUUUAAUGCAACUGUCGCAAGAGUGGGGCACUUUGGGGUUCGCCCCAAAGGACUGUCGUGAAGAGCCUUCCAAGAAAAACUUCUAAGCACAUCAUGUUGACGACCGUACCGCAAACCGACACAGGUGUGCAGCUCGAGUAGAGCAAGGCGAACGAGUGAGUGUGCUCCAAGGAACUCGGCAAAAAAGCGGCCGUACCUUCGGAAUAAGGCCUGCCCUGCCGUGCGUAGCACGGAAGUAUCAAAACCCAAGUUCCAAGUUCCAAACAAAAACUAAAGUAUUAAAGUUUCAAAUUCCAAACAAAUUCUGUUCGGUUUGAGAUUUAUUUACUUGGUGCUUGUUUGCUACUUGUUAUUUGAUACUUGAUGUUUCCGCGCUGCGCGCGGCGGGGCCGCAGCGAAAGUAUCCCUGGCGACUGUUUACCAAAAACACAGCUCCCUGCGAACUCGUAAGAGGAUGUAUAGGGGGUGACACUUGACCAAUGCCAGAAGGUCAACUAAGGCCGUUGCAAUGAUCGCAAGAUUGAUGUGGUGAGCUUUAUAAGCCCUGGUGAAUGUCGGCGAUAACUAUAAGAUGAUUGUAGUUAAAAAAUUCGGCCAUAUGCUGGAAACCCCGAGUAUCUUCAAGUACUAGCCGCAAGGCAGUGAAAAUCUUGAAGUGCGGGCAAUCAGCAGGAAAGGCUCGUGAGCUUCAUUGAAGGUUCUUUGUUAGGGAUGUGAGCGACAAGUGCUUUGGUUGUGACUGAAGCAUGGAUACUCCGUCCCAAAAGUGCAGAGUAAGUGCUUGCCGACGGAUUAGACACCCGUGUAGCAAGAAGUAGCAAAGCGCCGUGGCGCCUCCCGUUCGAGUCCAGAUUUGGAUAGGGGGUAAUGGCGAAAAUCAGUCAAUACUGAUUCCUUGCUCUGCAUGAAAUUCGGCAACCGCGCAAAUGCGGUUGCCCCUUCAACGAAGCUCGCGAGAAUCCUCAGAGACUAUACGCCGAACUCGACUCUCUUAAUUGAGAACAGCGAGAUGAUAUAGUCCGACCUUUGUAGCGAUACAGAGAAAUGCUUGCAGCUACCAAUAGCAAGCAAAAUAACAUAGGAGAAUCGUCCUAAGGUAGCGAAAUUCCUUGUCUGGUAAGUUCAGACGCGCACGAAUAGUGUAACGACUGGGGAACUGUCUCGGAGCACAGCUCGGUGAAAAUACAAUACCGGUGAAGAUGCCGGUUACCUGCAGAUAGACGAAAAGACCCCAGAAGCUUUACUGUAGCUUGAUAUUGCGCAUACGAUGUGACUGCGUAGCAUAGAUGGGAGAGGUUGAGGUUGGGAUUUCGGUUCCAGCGGACUCGUCAGUGAAAUACCAUUCUUUCUAGUU